rnacentral:lncRNA from 1 species
AGACAUUGACAUCGCUCCGAGGAAAAGCAUCAAUGUGUCUAACAGCGCUGGGUUGAUAAAGUCAAGCUUCAAGUGAGUUUAGAGAAAAUGAGGUCACAAGGCAUUGUGCGAAAGACGAGUACGGGCCCAUCACCCUGUCCCAGGAACCUCGGAGGGGAUGUGCUGAAGGACAGCUUUCAUUCAGAAGCCCCACUCACAAGCUCUACACCAGGCUCAUUUAUGUCACUAAAUUCUUCCUAUUUGAGUGCCAGACCAUAUGUGCUGCUGUAUUUUUUCCUUUCAGGCUUUUACUCCCCAGGUGUAACCAUGUGCUCAGAAGUCCUGAGGACAGGAAUAGAAAAGUUCCAGUAGAAAUAUCACAGGGACAGUUGAAUGACAUUUGAACCAGUGAGCCCAGGACCUCAAAUUUGUAAACUGCUGUAAGUAAACUGACACACAAAAAGUGUGAUGUAUCAAAAACUGAUAGUUUUUGAUAGUUUUGGUGAAAAAAUAGACUGAUCUAUUUUGAGUUUUUGAACUUGAAAGGAUUUCUAUUUAGUGAGGGUAUACUGGAUCUUUGGAGAGAGAUGCCUUUUUACAUUUCUUCUUCUAGCACAGCUACAGAUAAACUCAGGAAAAGGAGAAAGCUCCCCCAAACCCUCUAAAUUAUGUCUGACCAAGUCUAACAAGAAUGCUUAAGUGACAACAUUCAAGACCUGUUGCAUGUAUACAUGCUGAGUGGCUCUUGUAGAAAAAUAAUUGGAUGAAAAGUGUCAAUAAUUAACAUGGGUGUUAAGGGAAGGGUUUGUCCAACACUGGACCAGGGGAACAUAAAUACAGUGCUACAGGGGAUGUGCUAUCUACACAUUUUCCUAUGAAGGGUCAAUGGUUCAUCUUGCCUCAAGGCAAAAAAAAGAAAAAAAUGUAGAAGAAAAAUACUAGAAGAGCUUUAAAGAAAGUCAUCACUGGCCAUCAACCUGUCCCAAAGUCCAGGUACCUCUGUGUGAACUGGCCAUUUCUGAGUCACCUGCCAGGGAACCUUAACUCUGAAAAUUCUCCUUCUGCACAAAAGAGGCACUUCAGGAAGACACCUUUUUUUUUUUUUUUUUUUUUUUUUUCCCAAGCAUGCAUGCUUCUAAUAAAGGAAGGGGGAAAGCACA